AUUAACUCUCAAAAGCCCAAAUCAGCAUUUUAGCCAGAUUAGCAUGCUACGCUAAAAAAUGCUAACGUUGCUCAAAGUUAACCAGAUAGCUCAGGAGACCCAUUAGAGUCAAUAGAAACGUGUUAGCAUUUUAGCUAAUUAGCAUGCUAAGCUAACUAGCAUAAAUCAACAAGCACAGGCACGGUCAAGUUCAGAGCUGUACAUGUCGGGAACGGGAGUGAAUAUCAAAAAUCUGUUCAGUCAUUUCUGUCAGGCCCGGUCUGAAGUUCAUCUGAUAACAUUUUGAACAAAAUUGAACAAGAUUUCAGGGAGGAGUAGCGAAAAAACUGUAUUUCAUUCCAUUCAAUAUGGCGGACAGACGCCAUGUUGGAAAAUGACAGUUGAGACAUCAUCAGAUUCGGCAUAACCAAAGGAAUAAAAUGACAUAAAAAUAACAAAAAUCGAUCAACAUUUACAGUAGUUAUAAGGGGUUUUGCAAGAAUCGUUAUAUCUCUUGAACACUAGGUGGCGCUGUCUUCCAACUUCCGGGGUACCUCCGGGAUAUGGUGUUGAUGAUGCCUAUCGAUUUUUGUGAAGAUAUGUACAAUAGAUCAAAAGAUAUAGCAAUUUAUGACAAAAUUCAAAAUGGCGGACGGGUGGUCCUGGUGGUCUCGACAAAAUUGACAUCCACAGAUCCGGAAUGAUCUAAAGAAUCCAUAGACAUCAAGAAAAUAAUUUUCUGAUGAAUUGUUCAGAAGUUAUAAGCAAAAAAGUGCAUUUUUGGUAUCUCAACACCCAUAGGUGGCGCUGUUCCCAAAUUUGGCGUGGACCCCCAGAUCAUGGUGUAGAUGAAGUGUACCAAGUUUGGUAUCGAUUGAUCAAAGUUUGGCCGAGAUACAGCAUCUCAACCGAUUUUAGGUCAGCCUCAUUAAGUUCACAAUUGAAUAACUUUUGAACAAAGACGAAAAUCAAAAUUCUGUUCAGUCAUUUCUGUGCGGCUCAGUCCAAAGAACAUCUGAGCCAAAUUUCAGAAGAAUUGGACCAAUUUUGAAGGAGGAGUAGUGUUUAGACUGAAUACUGUACUUUUCAAAAUGGCCGCUACUGUAAUGGGCGGAGUUUUAAUGUAAGGUGUGGAAUGGAAUCUCCAUGAAGAGACAAAAUAGAUGUACUAAGUUUUAUUUUCAUAGAAUAAGUGGUUCAAGAGUUAUUAACGUUUGAAUGUUGAUUUUUUGGACUGGUGGUGGCGCUAUAGAGUUUGGCCUAGAGACCCAAAAGUUGGUCAGAUCACUAAUAAUGACCAGUUCUACAAGUGUGCCAAAUUUCAUCAUUUUCCCAUGUUCCCUUCAUAGGGCUGCCAUAGACUCCCAUUGGAGAAGAAGAAGAAUAAUAAUAAUAAUAAUAAAUAUAGCUGCAAGCAGCGAUACCGGGGCCAAGCCCUGAAGGGCUGUAGCCAGAGCAACGAGCGGGACGAAGCAAAACGGCCAAAACGGAACUUCCAUCGGACCGACGUUACCCACCCCGGAUUCGAUCCCACGACCUCUCGGGCUCGGGACCAGUGCCUUAGCUAAGUGCGCCACAUUAGUUGACACACAGUUCAUAUGGCACAGAAGAGAGGUUAAGGUGUGAGAAUGAACUCUCAAGAGCCCGAAGUAGCAUUUUAGCCAGAUUAGCAUGCUACGCUAAAAAAUGCUAACGUUGCUCAAAGUUAACCAGAUAGCUCAGGAGACCCAUUAGAGUCAAUAGAAACAUGUUAGCAUUUUAGCUAAUUAGCAUGCUAAGCUAACUAGCAUAAAUCAACAAGCACAGGCACGGUCAACUUCGGAGCUGUACAUGUCGGGAACGGGAGUGAAUAUCAAAAAUCUGUUCAGUCAUUUCUGUCAGGCCCGGUCUGAAGUUCAUCUGAUAAAAUUUUGAACAAAAUUGAACAAGAUUUCAGGGAGGAGUAGCGAAAAAACUGUACUUCAUUCCAUUCAAUAUGGCGGACAGACGCCAUGUUGGAAAAUGACAGUUGAGACAUCAUCAGAUUCGGCAUAACCAAAGGAAUAAAAUGACAUAAAAAUAACAAAAAUCGAUCAAAAUUUACAGUAGUUAUAAGGGGUUUUGCAAGAAUCGUUAUAUCUCUUGAACACUAGGUGGCGCUGUCUUCUAACUUCCGGGGUACCUCAGGCACAUGUUGUUGAUGAUGCCUAUCGAUUUUUGUGAAGAUAUGUACAAUAGAUCAAAAGAUAUAGCAAUUUAUGACACAAUUCAAAAUGGCGGACGGGUGGUCCUGGUGGUCUCGACAAAAUUGACAUCCACAGAUCCGGAAUGAUCUAAAGAAUCCAUAGACAUCAAGAAAAUAAUUUUCUGAUGAAUUGUUCAGAAGUUAUAAGCAAAAAAGUGCAUUUUUGGUAUCUCAACACCCAUAGGUGGCGCUGUUCCCAAAUUUGGCGUGGACCCCCAGAUCAUGGUGUAGAUGAAGUGUACCAAGUUUGGUAUCGAUUGAUCAAAGUUUGGCCGAGAUACAGCAUCUCAACCGAUUUUAGGUCAGCCUCAUUAAGUUCACAAUUGAAUAACUUUUGAACAAAGACGAAAAUCAAAAUUCUGUUCAGUCAUUUCUGUGCGGCUCAGUCCAAAGAACAUCUGAGCCAAAUUUCAGAAGAAUUGGACCAAUUUUGAAGGAGGAGUAGUGUUUAGACUGAAUACUGUACUUUUCAAAAUGGCCGCCACUGUAAUGGGCGGAGUCUUAAUGUAAGAUAUGGAAUGGAAUCUCCAUGAAGAGACAAAAUAGAUGUACUAAGUUUUAUUUUCAUAGAAUAAGUGGUUCAAGAGUUAUUAACGUUUGAAUGUUGAAUUUUUGGACUGGUGGUGGCGCUAUAGAGUUUGGCCUAGAGACCCCAAAGUUGGUCAGAUCACUAAUAAUGACCAGUUCUACAAGUGUGCCAAAUUUCAUCAUUUUCCCAUGUUCCCUUCAUAGGGCUGCCAUAGACCCAAUGGGACGAAAAGAAGAAGAAUAAUAAUAAUAAAUAUAGCUGCAAGCAGCGAUACCGGGGCCAAGCCCUGAAGGGCUGUAGCCAGAGCAACGAGCGGGACGAAGCAAAACGGCCAAAACGGAACUUCCGUUGGACCGACGUUACCCACCCCGGAUUCGAUCCCACGACCUCUCGGGUUUGGGACGAGUGCCUUAGCUAAGUGCGCCACAUUAGUUGACACACUGUUUGCAUGGCACAGAAGAGAGGUUAAGGUGUGAGAAUGAGGUCACUGAAGAAAGUUGCUUAGCAAUUUAAGCAGCAUGAUAUGGAAAGUUGAGUAAAUUGUAAUUCAGACUUCUGAGAUAUGUCCAGAACAUGGUUUUAAUAAUCCCUACCGAUUAUAGUAGAAAUCUUUCCAUGGGUUGAAAAGAUAUAGAAACUUAGGACACAAUUCUUAAUGUCAGGCAGUUAGUUUAGUUAAUCCUGGCAAAAUUUACAUCCAUGGAUUCGGCAUGUUUCGAGGAAUAGACUGACGACAAGAUCAUGAUUUUCCAACUAAUUGUUCAAAAGUUAUAAGCAGAAAUGUGAGUCUUUGGUAUCUCACGACCCAUAGGUGGCACUGUUCCCAACUUUGGGAUAUAUUCUCAGUUCAUAGUGUUGAUGAACUGUAGCGAGUUUUGUGGCAAUUGAUCAAAGUACGGCUGAGAUAUAGCCUCUCAUACAAUUUCGAUUGAACACUAUUAACUUCAGGGCAUCAUAACUCUUUUUUUGACCAGUAAGUCGAAAAAUUCUGUUCAGUCAUUUCUGUGCUGCUCGGUCCAAAGAUCGUCUGAGGAAAUUUUGAGAAGAAUUGGGCCACAUUUGAAGGAGGAGUAGCGAAAAAACGGAAUAUUGUACUUUUCUUAAUGGCCUUCACUGUAAUGGCAGGAAUUUUAUUGUAAACUAUUCAAUGUGAUCAGCGUGAAGAGAGGAAUCAGGUGUACUAAGUUUUAUCUUGAUAGAAGAAGGUGUUCAAAAGUUAUAAGGAAAAAUGUGCAUUUAUGCUAUCUCAUGACCCAUAGGUGGCGCUGUGCCCGAAUUCGGCAUGAACCCUCAGAUCAUGGUGUUGGUGAAGUGUAUCAAGUUUAGUUUCGAUUGAUCAAUGUUUGGCCGAGAUACAGCCUCUUAACCGAUUUUGGGUCGACCUCGUUAUGUUCACAAUUUAAUAACUUUUGAACAAAGACGAAUAUCAAAAAUCUGUUCAGUCAUUUCUGUGCGGCUCGGUCCGAAGAUCGUCUGUGGUAAAUUUCAGAAAAAUCAAACCACUUUUGAAGGAGGAGUAGCGUUUAAACGGAAACACUUAAUUAGCUUAAUAGCAAUUAUUGUAAUGGGUGGAAACUUAAUGUAAGGUAUAGAAUGUAAUCUCCAUGAAGAGAGUAAUCAUGUGUACUAAGUUUUAUCUGUCUAGACCAAAGGGUUCAGGAGUUAUUAAAGUUUCAAAACUGAAUUUUUGAACUGGUGGUGGCGCUGUAGAGUUGGUCUUAGAGACCCCAAAGUUGGUCAGAUCACUAUUGGUGACCCUCUCUAGAAGUGUGCCAAAUUUCAUCAUUUUCCCAUGUUCCCUUCAUAGGGCUAGCAUAGUGAUCGAUUGUUUUUGCUCGAAAAUUCUACCAAAAACAAUCGCUAAUAUAGCUGCAAGCAGCGAUACCGGGGCCAAGCCCUGAAGGGCUGUAGCCAGAGCAACGAGCGGGACGAAGCAAAACGGCCGAAACGGAGCGUACGUCAGGACAACCGAUCAGUUCAGAAGUAGAGAAGUUUGAAAUUGAACAGAACUUUAGAUGAGAAAGACCAAAAACAUAUUUUUGAUUGAAGGCAAACACACUCAGGAAAUGCAAAGGCUUGAACAGAAGCAACAUUAACUGCCCUUGAUCCAAACCCAUGAACUCAGAAACAACAUUAACUGUCCUGGAUUCGAACCCAUGACCUCAGAAGCUCAGAACCAGCGGCUUAACAUACUGCACCACUGAGUCUUUACACAUCCAGUGAGCUGCAGAAGAAAGGUUAAGGUGUGAGGAUGAGGUCACUAAAGAAAAUUGCCUAGCAUUUUAAGGUAGUUUAGUCAAUCCUGGCAAAAUUUACAUCCAUAGAUUCGGCAUGACCCGAGGAAUAGAAAGACACCAAGAUCAUGAUUUUCCAACUAAUUGUUCAAAAGCUAUGAGCAGAAAUGUGAAUUUUUGGUAUCUCAUGACCCAUAGGUGGCGCUGUUUCCAACUUUGGGAUAUAUUCUCAGUUCAUAGUGUUGAUGAAGUGUAGAAAGUUUUGUGGUGAUUGAUCAAAGUACGGCCGAGAUACAGCUUCUGGAACAAUUUCGAUUGAACACUGUUGACUUCAGAGCAUCAUAACUCUUUUUUUGACCAGUAGGUCGAAAAAUUCUGUCCAGUCAUUUCCGUGCGGCUCGGUCCAAAGAUUGUCUGAGGAAAUUUUGAGAAGAAUUGGGCCACAUUUGAAGGAGGAGUAGCGAAAAAACGGAAUACUGUACUUUUCUUAAUGGCCUUCACUGUAAUGGCAGGAAUUUUAAUGUAAACUAUUCAAUGUGAUCAGCGUGAAGAGAGGAAUCAGGUGUACUAAGUUUUAUCUUGAUAGAAGAAGGUGUUCAAAAGUUAUAAGGAAAAAUGUGCAUUUAUGCUAUAUCAUGACCCAUAGGUGGCGCUGUGCCCGAAUUCGGCAUGAACCCUCAGAUCAUGGUGUAGAUGAAGUGUAUCAAGUUUAGUUUCGAUUGAUCAAUGUUUGGCCGAGAUACAGCAUCUCAACCGAUUUUGGGUCGACCUCGUUAUGUUCACAAUUUAAUAACUUUUGAACAAAGACGAAUAUCAAAAAUCUGUUCAGUCAUUUCUGUGCGGCUCGGUCCGAAGAUCGUCUGUGGCAAAUUUCAGAAAAAUCAAACCACUUUUGAAGGAGGAGUAGCGUUUAAACAGAAACACUUAAUUAGCUAAAUAGCAAUUACUGUAAUGGGUGGAGACUUAAUGUAAGGUAUAGAGUGUAAUCUCCAUGAAGAGAGUAAUCAUGUGUACUAAGUCGUAUCUGUAUAGACCAAAGGGUUCAGGAGUUAUUCAAGUUUAAAAACUGAAUUUUUGAACUGGUGGUGGCGCUGUAGAGUUGGUCUUAGAGACCCCAAAGUUGGUCAGAUCACUAUUGGUGACCAUCUCUAGAAGUGUGCCAAAUUUCAUCAUUUUCCCAUGUUCCCUUCAUAGGGCUUGCAUAGUGAUCGAUUGUUUUUGCUCGAAAAUUCUACCAAAAACAAUCGCUAAUAUAGCUGCAAGCAGCGAUACCGGGGCCAAGCCCUGAAGGGCUGUAGCCAGAGCAACGAGCGGGACGAAGCAAAACGGCCAAAACAGAACUUCCAUCGGAUCGACAUUACCCAACCCGGAUUCGAUCCCACGACCUCUCGGAUUCGGAAACAGUGCCUUAGCUAAGUGCGCCACAUUAGUUGACACACUGUUUGCAUGGCACAGAAGAGAGGUUAAGGUGUGAGAAUUAACUCUCAAAAGCCCGAAGUAGCAUUUUAGCCAGAUUAGCAUGCUACGCUAAAAAAUGCUAACAUUGCUCAAAGUUAACCAGAUAGCUCAGGAGACCCAUUAGAGUCAAUAGAAACGUGUUAGCAUUUUAGCUAAUUAGCAUGCUAAGCUAAUUAGCAUAAAUCAACCAGCACAGGCACGGUCAACUUCAGAGCUGUACACGCCGGGAACGGGAGUGAAUAUCAAAAAUCUGUUCAGUCAUUUCUGUCAGGCCCGGUCCGAAGUUCAUCUGAUAAAAAUUUGAACAAAAUUGAACAAGAUUUCAGGGAGGAGUAGCGAAAAAACUGUAUUUCAUUCCAUUAAAUAUGUCGGACAGACGCCAUAUUGGAAAAUGGCAAAUGAGAGAUCAUCAGAUUCGGCAUAACCCACGGAAUAAAAUGACAUAAAAAUAACAAAAAUUGAUCAACAUUUACAGUAGUUAUAAGGGGUUUUGCAAGAAUCGUUAUAUCUCUUGAACACUAGGUGGCGCUGUCUUCCAACUUCCGGGGCAUCUCCGGGACAUGGUGUUGAUGAUGCCUAUUGAUUUUUGUGAAGAUAUGUACAGUAGAUCAAAAGAUAUAGCAAUUUAUGACAAAAUUCAAAAUGGCGGACGGGUGGUCCUGGUGGUCUUGACAAAAUUGACAUCCACAGAUUCGGAAUGAUCUAAAGAAUCCAUAGACAUCAAGAUCAUAAUUUUCAGAUGAAUUGUUCAGAAGUUAUAAGCAAAAAAGUGCAUUUUUGGUAUCUCAACACCCAUAGGUGGCGCUGUUCCCAAAUUUGGCGUGGACCCCCAGAUCAUGGUGUAGAUGAAGUGUACCAAGUUUGGUAUCGAUUGAUCAAAGUUUGGCCGAGAUACAGCAUCUCAACCGAUUUUAGGUCAGCCUCAUUAAGUUCACAAUUGAAUAACUUUUGAACAAAGACGAAAAUCAAAAUUCUGUUCAGUCAUUUCUGUGCGGCUCAGUCCAAAGAACAUCUGAGCCAAAUUUCAGAAGAAUUGGACCAAUUUUGAAGGAGGAGUAGUGUUUAGACUGAAUACUGUACUUUUCAAAAUGGCCGCUACUGUAAUGGGCGGAGUUUUAAUGUAAGGUGUGGAAUGGAAUCUCCAUGAAGAGACAAAAUAGAUGUACUAAGUUUUAUUUUCAUAGAAUAAGUGGUUCAAGAGUUAUUAACGUUUGAAUGUUGAUUUUUUGGACUGGUGGUGGCGCUAUAGAGUUUGGCCUAGAGACCCAAAAGUUGGUCAGAUCACUAAUAAUGACCAGUUCUACAAGUGUGCCAAAUUUCAUCAUUUUCCCAUGUUCCCUUCAUAGGGCUGCCAUAGACUCCCAUUGGAGAAGAAGAAGAAUAAUAAUAAUAAUAAUAAAUAUAGCUGCAAGCAGCGAUACCGGGGCCAAGCCCUGAAGGGCUGUAGCCAGAGCAACGAGCGGGACGAAGCAAAACGGCCAAAACGGAACUUCCAUCGGACCGACGUUACCCACCCCGGAUUCGAUCCCACGACCUCUCGGGCUCGGGACCAGUGCCUUAGCUAAGUGCGCCACAUUAGUUGACACACAGUUCAUAUGGCACAGAAGAGAGGUUAAGGUGUGAGAAUGAACUCUCAAGAGCCCGAAGUAGCAUUUUAGCCAGAUUAGCAUGCUACGCUAAAAAAUGCUAACGUUGCUCAAAGUUAACCAGAUAGCUCAGGAGACCCAUUAGAGUCAAUAGAAACAUGUUAGCAUUUUAGCUAAUUAGCAUGCUAAGCUAACUAGCAUAAAUCAACAAGCACAGGCACGGUCAACUUCGGAGCUGUACAUGUCGGGAACGGGAGUGAAUAUCAAAAAUCUGUUCAGUCAUUUCUGUCAGGCCCGGUCUGAAGUUCAUCUGAUAAAAUUUUGAACAAAAUUGAACAAGAUUUCAGGGAGGAGUAGCGAAAAAACUGUACUUCAUUCCAUUCAAUAUGGCGGACAGACGCCAUGUUGGAAAAUGACAGUUGAGACAUCAUCAGAUUCGGCAUAACCAAAGGAAUAAAAUGACAUAAAAAUAACAAAAAUCGAUCAAAAUUUACAGUAGUUAUAAGGGGUUUUGCAAGAAUCGUUAUAUCUCUUGAACACUAGGUGGCGCUGUCUUCUAACUUCCGGGGUACCUCAGGCACAUGUUGUUGAUGAUGCCUAUCGAUUUUUGUGAAGAUAUGUACAAUAGAUCAAAAGAUAUAGCAAUUUAUGACACAAUUCAAAAUGGCGGACGGGUGGUCCUGGUGGUCUCGACAAAAUUGACAUCCACAGAUCCGGAAUGAUCUAAAGAAUCCAUAGACAUCAAGAAAAUAAUUUUCUGAUGAAUUGUUCAGAAGUUAUAAGCAAAAAAGUGCAUUUUUGGUAUCUCAACACCCAUAGGUGGCGCUGUUCCCAAAUUUGGCGUGGACCCCCAGAUCAUGGUGUAGAUGAAGUGUACCAAGUUUGGUAUCGAUUGAUCAAAGUUUGGCCGAGAUACAGCAUCUCAACCGAUUUUAGGUCAGCCUCAUUAAGUUCACAAUUGAAUAACUUUUGAACAAAGACGAAAAUCAAAAUUCUGUUCAGUCAUUUCUGUGCGGCUCAGUCCAAAGAACAUCUGAGCCAAAUUUCAGAAGAAUUGGACCAAUUUUGAAGGAGGAGUAGUGUUUAGACUGAAUACUGUACUUUUCAAAAUGGCCGCCACUGUAAUGGGCGGAGUCUUAAUGUAAGAUAUGGAAUGGAAUCUCCAUGAAGAGACAAAAUAGAUGUACUAAGUUUUAUUUUCAUAGAAUAAGUGGUUCAAGAGUUAUUAACGUUUGAAUGUUGAUUUUUUGGACUGGUGGUGGCGCUAUAGAGUUUGGCCUAGAGACCCAAAAGUUGGUCAGAUCACUAAUAAUGACCAGUUCUACAAGUGUGCCAAAUUUCAUCAUUUUCCCAUGUUCCCUUCAUAGGGCUGCCAUAGACUCCCAUUGGAGAAGAAGAAGAAUAAUAAUAAUAAUAAUAAAUAUAGCUGCAAGCAGCGAUACCGGGGCCAAGCCCUGAAGGGCUGUAGCCAGAGCAACGAGCGGGACGAAGCAAAACGGCCAAAACGGAACUUCCAUCGGACCGACGUUACCCACCCCGGAUUCGAUCCCACGACCUCUCGGGCUCGGGACCAGUGCCUUAGCUAAGUGCGCCACAUUAGUUGACACACAGUUCAUAUGGCACAGAAGAGAGGUUAAGGUGUGAGAAUGAACUCUCAAGAGCCCGAAGUAGCAUUUUAGCCAGAUUAGCAUGCUACGCUAAAAAAUGCUAACGUUGCUCAAAGUUAACCAGAUAGCUCAGGAGACCCAUUAGAGUCAAUAGAAACAUGUUAGCAUUUUAGCUAAUUAGCAUGCUAAGCUAACUAGCAUAAAUCAACAAGCACAGGCACGGUCAACUUCGGAGCUGUACAUGUCGGGAACGGGAGUGAAUAUCAAAAAUCUGUUCAGUCAUUUCUGUCAGGCCCGGUCUGAAGUUCAUCUGAUAAAAUUUUGAACAAAAUUGAACAAGAUUUCAGGGAGGAGUAGCGAAAAAACUGUACUUCAUUCCAUUCAAUAUGGCGGACAGACGCCAUGUUGGAAAAUGACAGUUGAGACAUCAUCAGAUUCGGCAUAACCAAAGGAAUAAAAUGACAUAAAAAUAACAAAAAUCGAUCAAAAUUUACAGUAGUUAUAAGGGGUUUUGCAAGAAUCGUUAUAUCUCUUGAACACUAGGUGGCGCUGUCUUCUAACUUCCGGGGUACCUCAGGCACAUGUUGUUGAUGAUGCCUAUCGAUUUUUGUGAAGAUAUGUACAAUAGAUCAAAAGAUAUAGCAAUUUAUGACACAAUUCAAAAUGGCGGACGGGUGGUCCUGGUGGUCUCGACAAAAUUGACAUCCACAGAUCCGGAAUGAUCUAAAGAAUCCAUAGACAUCAAGAAAAUAAUUUUCUGAUGAAUUGUUCAGAAGUUAUAAGCAAAAAAGUGCAUUUUUGGUAUCUCAACACCCAUAGGUGGCGCUGUUCCCAAAUUUGGCGUGGACCCCCAGAUCAUGGUGUAGAUGAAGUGUACCAAGUUUGGUAUCGAUUGAUCAAAGUUUGGCCGAGAUACAGCAUCUCAACCGAUUUUAGGUCAGCCUCAUUAAGUUCACAAUUGAAUAACUUUUGAACAAAGACGAAAAUCAAAAUUCUGUUCAGUCAUUUCUGUGCGGCUCAGUCCAAAGAACAUCUGAGCCAAAUUUCAGAAGAAUUGGACCAAUUUUGAAGGAGGAGUAGUGUUUAGACUGAAUACUGUACUUUUCAAAAUGGCCGCCACUGUAAUGGGCGGAGUCUUAAUGUAAGAUAUGGAAUGGAAUCUCCAUGAAGAGACAAAAUAGAUGUACUAAGUUUUAUUUUCAUAGAAUAAGUGGUUCAAGAGUUAUUAACGUUUGAAUGUUGAAUUUUUGGACUGGUGGUGGCGCUAUAGAGUUUGGCCUAGAGACCCCAAAGUUGGUCAGAUCACUAAUAAUGACCAGUUCUACAAGUGUGCCAAAUUUCAUCAUUUUCCCAUGUUCCCUUCAUAGGGCUGCCAUAGACCCAAUGGGACGAAAAGAAGAAGAAUAAUAAUAAUAAUAAUAAUAAUAAAACAUACAGAUACAAUAGGGGCUACAGCCCUCUGGGCUUGGCCCCUAAUAAAGAAAACGUACAGAUACAAUAGGGGCUACAGCCCUCUGGGCUUGGCCCCUAAAUAUAGCUGCAAGCAGCGAUACCGGGGCCAAGCCCUGAAGGGCUGUAGCCAGAGCAACGAGCGGGACGAAGCAAAACGGCCAAAACGGAACUUACAUCGGAUCGACGUUACCCACCCCGGAUUCGAUCCCACGACCUCUCGGGUUUGGGACUGGUGCCUUAGCGAAGUGCGCCACAUUAGUUGACACACAGUUUGCAUGGCACAGAAGAGACGUUAAGGUGUGAGAAUGAACUCUCAAAAGCCCGAAGCAGCAUUUUAGCCAGAUUAGCAUGCUACGCUAAAAAAUGCUAACGUUGCUCAAAGUUAACCAGAUAGCUCAGGAGACCCAUUAGAGUCAAUAGAAACAUGUUAGCAUUUUAGCUAAUUAGCAUGCUAAGCUAAUUAGCAUGAAUUAACAAGCACAGGCACGGUCAACUUCAGAGCUGUACAUGUCAGGAACGGGAGUGAAUAUCAAAAAUCUGUUCAGUCAUUUCUGUCAGGCCCGGUCUGAAGUUCAUCUGAUAAAAUUUUGGACAAAAUUGAACAAGAUUUCAGGGAGGAGUAGCGAAAAAACUGUAUUUCAUUCCAUUCAAUAUGGUGGACAGACGCCAUAUUGGAAAAUGAAAAUUGAGACAUCAUCAGAUUCAGCAUAACCCACGGAAUAAAAUGACAUAAAAAUAACAAAAAUCGAUCAACAUUUACAGUAGUUAUAAGGGGUUUUGCAAGAAUCGUUAUAUCUCUUGAACACUAGGUGGCGCUCGCUUCCAACUUCCGGGGUACCUCCGGGAUAUGGUGUUGAUGAUGCCUAUCGAUUUUUGUGAAGAUAUGUACAGUAGAUCAAAAGAUAUAGCAAUUUUUGACAAAUUUCAAAAUGGCGGACGGGUGGUCCAGGUGGUCUUGACAAAAUUGACAUCCACAGAUUCGGAAUGAUCUAAAGAAUCCAUAGACAUCAAGAUCAUAAUUUUCAGAUGAAUUGUUCAGAAGUUAUAAGCAAAAAAGUGCAUUUUUGGUAUCUCAACACCCAUAGGUGGCGCUAUUCCCAAAUUUGGCAUGGACCCCCAGAUCAUGGUGUAGACGAAGUGUACCAAGUUUGGUUACGAUUGAUCAAAGUUUGGCCGAGAUACAGCAUCUCAACCGA